UACGUAGGGGGCAAGCGUUGUCCGGAUUUAUUGGGCGUAAAGAGCGUGUAGGCGGCCAGGGAGGUCCGUUGUGAAAACUCGAGGCUUAACCUCUAGACGUCGAUGGAAACUGUUUGGCUAGAGUCCGGAAGAGGAGAAUGGAAUUCCUGGUGUAGCGGUGAAAUGCGCAGAUAUCAGGAAGAACACCCGUGGCUAAGGCGGUUCUCUAGUACGGUACUGACGCUGAGACGCGAAAGCGUGGGGAGCGAACAGG
rnacentral:rRNA from 1 species